AGCGAACGCUGGCGGCAGGCUUAACACAUGCAAGUCGAGCGGGCACUUCGGUGUCAGCGGCAGACGGGUGAGUAACACGUGGGAACGUACCCUUUGGUUCGGAAUAACGCUGGGAAACUAGCGCUAAUUCCGGAUACGCCCUUUUGGGGAACGGCUUGCUGCCGAAGGAUCGGCCCGGGUCUGAUUAGCUGGUUGGGGGGGUAAUGGCCUACCAAGGCGACGAUGAGGAGCUGGUAUGGGAGGAGGAUACGCCACACUGGGACUGCGACACGGCCCAGAACGCUACGGAGGAGUGCAGUGGGGAGUAUUGGACGAUGAGGGCAGGUCUGAUACAGCCAUGCCGCGUGAGUGAUGAAGGGCUUAGGGUUGCAAAGCCCUCUUGUCCGGGACGAUAAUGACGGUACCGGAAGAAUAAGCACCGGCUAACUUCGUG
rnacentral:rRNA from 1 species